GCCGGGCACGAUGGCACGUGCCUGUAGUCCUAGCUUCUCGGGUGGCUGAGGUGGGAGGAUCACUUGAGCCCAGGAAUUCUGGGCUGUAGUGCACUAUGCCAAUUGGGUGUCCACACUAAGUUCGGCAUCAAUAUGGUGAACUGAGUGCGGGGGACCACCGGGUUGCCUACGGAGGGGUGAACCAGCCCAGGUCGGAAAAGGAGCUGGUCAAACUCUGGUGCUGAUCAGGAUUGGGAUCGUGCCUGGGUAUAGCCACUGUACUCCAGCCUGGGCGACAUAGCGAGACCCAUCUCUU
rnacentral:SRP_RNA from 1 species